ACGAACGCUGGCGGCGUGCUUAACACAUGCAAGUCGAACGAUGAACCGGUUUCGGCCGGGGAUUAGUGGCGAACGGGUGAGUAACACGUGGGCAAUCUGCCCUGCCCUCUGGGAUAAGCCCGGGAAACUGGGUCUAAUACCGGAUACGACACUCCGAGGCGUCUUGGGGUGUGGAAAGUUCCGGCGGUGCAGGAUGAGCCCGCGGCCUAUCAGCUUGUUGGUGGGGUAAUGGCCUACCAAGGCGACGACGGGUAGCCGGCCUGAGAGGGUGACCGGCCACACUGGGACUGAGACACGGCCCAGACUCCUACGGGAGGCAGCAGUGGGGAAUAUUGCACAAUGGGCGAAAGCCUGAUGCAGCGACGCCGCGUGAGGGAUGACGGCCUUCGGGUUGUAAACCUCUUUCAGCAGGGAAGAAGCGAAAGUGACGGUACCUGCAGAAGAAGCACCGGCUAACUACGUG
rnacentral:rRNA from 1 species